AUUCAUUCACAUAUAAUACGACAAUAUCAUAUGAACGCGAUUUUCGCACUACGUGCGUUCUGAAAAAUAAAAAAAAGUAUAAUUUAUGUUUUAGUGACUUUUUUUUAUUGAUAAUCCAAUUACAGUUCGUGUAUUAAACCAUGUGAACAUUUUAAAAAAAGCAAGAAGAACGGAAAUAUGUAAAAAAUCAUACGUAGCUGAAUAACAAAAAUUGCUCUCGACUUAAUACAAUGACCAGCUCUUAAAUAAAGAAUACAUGCAACUUUUUGAAACUUCUAACAGAAAUUUUUUAAAAAAAUCCUAAUUUGCUAUUUUCUUCUGAAAUCUGGAAUGUUUUAUACAGUUUCUCCUUUAUUAUCAAAAAAUUUUCGAAAAAGUAAUUAAACUGUAGAACAGAUUUGUUAAGAAUCUAGGUAAAAAUAGAAGACACUAAAACGAAUGAUAUUCUUUGUUUUUAUUCUGUUUAAUCAAUAUGUCAAAGUGUUCUAGCUGGAAUUCUUUUUGACUUCUCAUUCAUUUCUUCCGCUUUGAAAAGUAGCUUUUCAUAUACAAUUUCGUAUAGGGUAUGCGAAAAACAUGUUUUUUUUGUUUUAAUCAAAAUGCAAACACCUAUUGAGUCUCCAAAAACAACAAAUGAUUCUUUUCUUGCUGUUAAAAAAAACGAAGAUAGUAGAAGAAAACUAUCUGAAACAUUUUAUUAUUUUCUUUUACAUGAAAUUAUAAAGUACACAUAUCAAGCAUUGUCUCAAUCUAUUAAUAUAGAUAAAAAAUUAGUUGCUAAUCAAUGUCGUUUGUUUUUUGAAAAGUUCGGUUUCACUAUUGGGGUUAAAAUACAUGAAAGACUAAGUAUACAAAAGCAACGCAUUUGUAAACCCGAAGAUUGUCUUAAAUUUGUGUGUAAGAACUUGUGGGAUUUUCUUUUUUUCAAACAGGCGGAUAGACUUCAAACGAAUCGUAAAGCAGAAUUCAUGAUUAUGGACAAAAAUUUGCCACCCCUUCGCUAUGGUAUUCAACCACCUACAGCUCAAUAUCAACUCUUUUGUUAUUCUUCUAAAGCAUCCUUGCCAUUUUUUUGUGGUAUUAUACGCGGUGUUCUUACAAAUCUCAACUUACCUAAUUGUGUCACGGCGGAUGCCAGGAAUCCUCCAACGUGUUAUUUUCAUAUUCAUUUAACGUAAUUUUUUUUUUGAAGUUUUUUUGCUAAAAAAAAAAAAAGACUUUUCUACAAUAAUAUUCGUUUACCUCAAUUUCUUGGACUAAAAAAUUUUCAAAAACGUUUCAAGAACUUUUGAAUAAGUAUAAAAAACAAAAUGAGAAAACUCAUUUUCUUUUAUAACAGAAAGAGUUAUUCUAACACGAUAAUAAUUAAGAUAAGUGUAUAACUUUUUU